UACAGAGGUCUCAACCGUUGUUCGGAUUCAUUGGGCGUAAAGGGUGCGUAGGCGGCGGGGUAAGUCAGGUGUGAAAUCUCGGGGCUCAACCCCGAAACUGCACUUGAUACUGCCUCGCUUGAGUACUGGAGAGGAGACUGGAAUUUACGGUGUAGCAGUGAAAUGCGUAGAUAUCGUAAGGAAGACCAGUGGCGAAGGCGAGUCUCUGGACAGUUACUGACGCUGAGGCACGAAGGCCAGGGGGGCAAACGGG
rnacentral:rRNA from 1 species